rnacentral:rRNA from 1 species
GUGGGGAAUAUUGGACAAUGGGCGAAAGCCUGAUCCAGCCAUGCCGCGUGUGUGAAGAAGGUCUUCGGAUUGUAAAGCACUUUAAGUUGGGAGGAAGGGCAUUAACCUAAUACGUUAGUGUUUUGACGUUACCGACAGAAUAAGCACCGGCUAACUCUGUGCCAGCAGCCGCGGUAAUACAGAGGGUGCAAGCGUUAAUCGGAAUUACUGGGCGUAAAGCGCGCGUAGGUGGUUCGUUAAGUUGGAUGUGAAAUCCCCGGGCUCAACCUGGGAACUGCAUCCAAAACUGGCGAGAUAGAGUAGGGCAGAGGGUGGUGGAAUUUCCUGUGUAGCGGUGAAAUGCGUAGAUAUAGGAAGGAACACCAGUGGCGAAGGCGACCACCUGGGCUCAUACUGACACUGAGGUGCGAAAGCGUGGGGAGCAAACAGGAUUAGAAACCCUGGUAGUCC